rnacentral:rRNA from 1 species
UACGGGGGGGGCAAGCGUUGUUCGGAAUUACUGGGCGUAAAGGGCUCGUAGGCGGCCAACUAAGUCGGAUGUGAAAUCCCCAGGCUUAACCUGGGAACUGCAUCCGAUACUGGAUGGCUUGAAUCCGGGGAGAGGGAUGCAGAACUCCAGGUGUAGCGGUGAAAUGCGUAGAUAUCUGGAGGAAUACCGGUGGCGAAGGCGGCAUCCUGGACCGGCAUUGACGCUGAGGAGCGAAAGCGUGGGGAGCGAACAGG